GCCCCUGUAGAGUAAUGGUCAUCUCGUUUCCCUCUCAAGGAAAAGAUUGCCGGUUCAAAUCCGGUCAGGGGUAC
rnacentral:tRNA from 2 species